AGUACCGACCGAAAAAAUAAGACCACCACGCACACGACCGACCAUUCCCGAACCCACGCACCUCCCUCUCGAUCCCAAAUCCUCCAGCGCGCCGCCACCCCUUACCUCGCCGCCCUGUCACACCAUGCCCAUCACCGCGCCCUCCAGCUCCCGCCGAUGCGCCACCCCUUCCAGCUCCCACCGACGCGCCGCCCCUUCCAGCUCCCCCCGAUGUGCCUCCCCUUCCUGCUCCCGUCCACGCGCCGCGCCUCCCCCAACUCCUGGCCACGCGCCUCCCCCAACUCCCGACGAGGCACCUCCCCACCUCCCGGUGACGCGCGACGCCUACUCCGAUGACGCGCCGCACCCCCCACUCCAUGGCGACGCCCCUCGCCGUUCCUCCCAAUGACGUGCACCACCAUCGGUGAUGCAGAUCCCUCCACACCCCUCUAGCACCGGCACCUUCCUCCACCGGAUGCUGGUCGCAUCCAUCCACCCGCCUCCCUCCAUCCGCGAUCCUUCUCCCGUCCGUCCGCGAUCCUUCUCCUUGUCCGGCCACUCCCUUCGCUCCCUCCACCGCGCUCCGCCUGCCGUAUACCACCAUCGAGCGCGUAGGCCGCCCAGCCAACAAGCCACCAUGCUCGCCACCGAACAGGCCCCUGCUGGAUCCCCGACGCCAGGUAGCCUGAGCAGCGCCGGGUGGUCACCUCGUCCUGGAUCCAGGUGGUGGUCGCGGCCAGGAUACAGCUAGCUCACGGGAGUGGUCGCCGGUUUUGUGAAGUUCAAGUUUCAAAGUUCUGCAAGUCCAGUGAAAAAUUCUAGCUCACCGACGAUGGAGGAUGUGGAGCUCCACUACCAUUCGCAGAUCCAGCCGUGGUCCGGAUCAUACUGAGCCUCUGGACCCUCCCUCAUAAACUCACCUCGAGGACAUCUAUUUUAUUUCGUGAAACACAAACUAGGUGUGCCAGUUUGGUAUGUGAACUAUCAUCAGUUUGUGAAAAACACGUAUGACAGUACUGUGUGUGUGUGCAAAAUAAAACCGAGUGUUUUUAUUGUACAACAGUUUUGCACCAAAAGGUUAUUCUGAUGCGGGUGGCUAGUGUUGCAGUAGUUCAGAAUGCUGAACCCACAUUGAUGCAGGCCCCCAUGAGUAGAGGCAGGCGCACCCAUGAGCAGUCUUCCAAUGUGGCAUUCACCGCCGGCGCCACAGUCCGUUCACGGCCGAUAGCCGAGGACGUUCAAUGACACAAUGACGAGGUAUUGCCAGAGUACGGUCGAGUCUGAAGCCAGCUGCACAUUCACACAUGAGUUGGUGCUCCUGAAGUGCUCUAAUUAGCAAUAGAAAAUGACAAGGGGAGUGCAUCUAAAAGAGAGGUGUCAAGCAUGCCUACUUCUGUGUGUUGAUAACCGAAUUGAAGGAUCUUCAGUAUAUGAACCACAAAAGAGAGCAGUCCUACUUCUCCAUGACGACAAGGACGAUGUCGCCAUGCGUGCACGCUCCAACCUGUCCCCUGUCGCAGCCCCACCACUCGUUGCCGAUGCACUCCAACCCGAGGACCUCCAUGAUGGAGGUCGCCUCGCAGCCUAGCGACGAGGUUCAGACGUAUCAAGCCACUAAGGCAUACAUCUCCCUGCCAAUGGUCGAUGGCUGGUCCCAACAUGGCUGUGGUGAGUUCGUUGGCCUAGUCCCUAUGCUCCGAUGAGGUCAAGCUCAUUGUCAUAUUUGUCGCCACAACUUUAGAUUGAUGCCGCCAAGUUGCAGUAUGAGUUUGAGAGUGGAUGAACCCAUACCUGAAGGCUGUGGGCUCCAACUACAGCAAUGGUGUCAAAUUUGCCAUGGCCGGCUCGGGGUCCUGCGACGUCUCCCAAUUCUCUGAACAUCCAGGUUGAUCCGUUCAUCUACUACAAGCGCAGAUCGCUAGAGCUCUAAAAUUCCGUAUCAGGGUAUUUUUUUCAUCGGUUCUAAAAUUCCCAGAGCAUCAGUCCAACAACGUAUCGGGGUAUACUGUGUUGCUCCUGUGAUUUUUUAUAUGCUUGUAUGUACAAAAAAAAUGGUACAGUUACUGCUUUGAUGUGUUGUGGUGUGAAUGUUGUUGAUGUUCAAAGUUUGUGUAGAGAAAGACUUCAAAAACUCGUGUCGCCGAUGGAAUGAAUUACUAGAAGUUCAAUUUGCUAAUAUCUAUAGUACUGGUUAGAGAAGUUUGGUAGUUCAUUUUGCUACUAAUGCUGACUGUGUAUAGUUCAUUUUGCUAAUAAAUAUUCUUCUACA